CCAGCCUGGUCCCCGCCGGGCCGCCUUUGUUCCCGCUGACAGCUGGGCUGCUAGACCUCCCGCCGUUGACCUGGGAGGGGAACCAAGCUUACACACUACGGUUGGAUAAAGGGUCAGUUAAGUGGGGUGCCAGGUGGUGCACGAGGCUGUGGUCCUGAGGGUGCUCGGAAGCGAAUCUGAUAAAACCAGGCGUAGCUCCGCCCAGAGAGUGCCGGCCUCAGCCUAAAGAGGCUGUCUCUCUAGAGUCGACUCUUCUCGGCUCUACCCAAGGCUAGAGACCCCCAAAGUGAAUUGGAGCCUCGCAGAACCGCUUUCCACACUGCUUCCUCACCUUCGCCAAGCCACUUCCACCUCCUGUGCCCUGGCCUUCAUUCAAGCCGGAAUGGGCUGAGGAACAUCAUACAGACAAAGAAGUUGGCAUGACCUUUGUCAGUUUUGAGGGAGACCUUUGGCAAGCGGUCUCUGUCAAGCUCACAUUUGUUUGUAGCCCUAAACUCGUUUAAACGAAUAGAGCAGGAAUCUGCUCCAGGAAUCUGAGACGAAAGGAAGGUCUGAUGCUGUCUCCCUAAGAGCUGGUGAGGUCCAAGACUGGUCGUCUGGGAUGAGGGGCUGCCCUCGGCUGGGGCUCCUGGGGCCAGCUGGCCUCCUGAUUGAGUCCUCCAGGUGCUAGGAACAGAGCAGUGAAGAACACAGAUGUGUCCUUGUCCUCAUGAAGCUUGCAGUCUGCUGGGGAGUACAGUCACUGAACAGCCUUUGAAGGACAACCGGGAAGGAGACUUAGAGGCUGGCUCUCUGAAGGGGUGGAGACACGCAUCUGUGGUCCCUGCGGUCAGCCUUCAGCAGUUUGAGUUGGGAGAGCUUUUUCGUUUCUGUAGAACUUGAAGGCUGCCGUUUGAAAUGGCACUGGAUCAAGUGUUCAUUGGCCACCACCUACUUCCGACAUGGAACACAACUGCUCGUCCAGUUGCAAGCACAGAAUGAAGGGUUUAGCCAUGAAGCCAAGAGUCCACCAAGAAUGCCACCCUCCCCAUUCUGGCUGGAGACAGUACUAAAUCAAGGCAGUGUGCUCCCCGAGUCCCCAGUUCCCAGGGACCAGCUAUGGCUUCUGUGAGUAUCUUCCUGGG
rnacentral:lncRNA from 1 species